rnacentral:lncRNA from 1 species
AAGGCAAAACAAAUUUUUUAUAACACAUACUCAUUCACAUACUAACCUCCCCAGACCUCUGUCUGAGGGAAAUUCAGAGGUGGAUAUAUUAGUUGCCUCUGCAUUUCAGGAAGCAGUUAAUUCACACUCUUUAUUGCACCAAAAUUCCAAAUCUCUCAAAUACCAAUUUGAUAUAACCAAAAGACAAGCAAAGGAAAUAAUCCAGCAAUGCAGAUCUUGUGCAUCUUUCUCUUCAAAUCCUCUUCCAGCAGGAGUUAAUCCAUGAUGUUUGAAAGCCAACCAGCUUUGGCAAAUCGAUGUAACUCAAUAUGCUCCUUUUGGAAGAUGGAAAUAUAUACAUGUAAUUGUUGAUAUCUACUCUCAUGUCAUGUGGGCCACAGCCCAAACUGGAGUAAAGAUGAUGGAAACAUCUGGACUCCCACUAAGCAUCUCAAACCAUGGAGAGGACCAGAUCCAGAUGCAGAGGGAGCAGACGAGCAACCAGAGCAGAGCACAACACCAUUGGCAGCUCAAGACCAGGAAGAGAAGCAGACAAACAACACUGAUGACAUCAGUUAGCUACAUACCAGCCACACUCCAGCCACACUGGAAGACACCAAAGUUUACACCAAAGACUGACAUUACACUACUUUUAAUGACAUUUACUAUUAUCAUACCAAUGGACAUUUGUAAUGCUGAAGUCUUUUGGUCCAUUAUACCUAAACCUCCUAUAUUAAGAAUGUUAACUUGGAUGGACAAGCCCCCACUUGUAUAUGUUAAUGAUACUAAAUGACUACUGCACCCAAUUCUAGCCAGAAACAUUCCUUUGGAAUCUGAAGUAGCAAGUUACAAUUAUUCAGGCUCUACUGUAUACCCUCCAUCUUGUAUGUCUUCUAGACACUCUCAAAAAGGGAAUUCAUUCUGUGUACCUCAUAGGAUUCAAGCUUGGAUAGUAAAACAUGCUAGUGACAACAUUUAUAUAGGAAUUGGUAUGGGUGUGAUAGGAAAAGGAGAUGAUACAGCUUGUCCACCAUUUAAACCUAACCGUCCUGGGAACAAGAAAUGAUGCCCAAAUCAGAUAGGAACUUUACACAGGGAUUUGUCAUGGGCAGAUUGUUCUGUCUAGGCUCCUAGAAAGGUUCAGAUGCCAGGAAAAGUAAGCUUUGAGGUCUACAAUUGGGGACCCAAAUUACAGUGUGGACUUCAUGAUCAAUUGACACAUUUAAAUAGAAAUAGGAAAUAUGAGAAAUGGCACAUGCUGUGCACAACACAGCAUAAGAUUGAAGAAUUGCUAGAAGUUGAUAUAGCUGGUCCUAGACUUGCUAUUGAGGCAGGUCCCAUUCAAAAUACUCUCUCUGGUGGCACCUCAAGACUGUAAUAAUUGUAUUUCAGUCUUGCUAGCACAAUCAAAUCCUGCUCCUACUGCAGCAAGUGUCUUCAAUAUAGCUCUGCUGUCAUUACAUUUAACAGCAUAAAAAGGAGUCCCUCGAGGAAGAGCUUUGUACCAUCUCAGAUGUUUUUUUAGGAUGUCACCGAGGUCAGCAACAUAGAAGGCAUCUUUAGAACAACAUAGAAGGCAUCAGAAGAAGAAACUUCAUUAAUUUUCUGGUCCAAAAUAUCCUUAGUAGUAAAGCCUUCAUCAAGGAAAUUGAAGUCAAAUUCAUCAUUGCUAAAGCUGUUCAUGGUUUCUUGAUGUUCCUCUAAAGUGCAACAAAAGGGAAAAUUAAGAGAUGGAAUUUAAAAGCAAGCUAUUUCCAGCUUUACACCAAAGAUGGUUUUCCAGGAAGAGAAAA